CCGUAGAUGCUCCUGUAAGUCAAAAUGAAUAUUUCAAAAAAGUAUUUGGAGGAGCAGUUCGUAGAACGGGGCUUGUAGCGUGGAAAAAUACCAAGUUGGUACCCUAGAAAAAAAAGUUGCUUUGCAAUUGCAGGCAUUUAAAUCAUCAAAGCCCAUGAAUAUAUGUAUAACAUUUUAGAGUAUGCUAUGUGGUUAAAUGUUGGGAAAAUACUUAAAAAUGUGUUAAAAAUGUUGGGAUGCAGUGUCUGAAUCUUGUUAAGCAGCAAUCUCAGCAGCAGAUAGUGUUUGGAUCUUUGGGCCUGGGUUGUGAUGCCUUACUCGUUACUGUGAUUUAAUAAUGGCUUUUAGAAAUUUGAAACUGUCUAAACAAGCUCUGCAGUCAUGUUGAAAACCCAUCCAUGUUAUGAUUUGUGCCUCACGUUUCCUCCUGUAUGUGGUUGUUGAUGAAAGAAAAGAAGUCAGAGAUGUUUAGGGAUUAUGGACCUAGCAAAGAUCUACAGUAAUAUGUGCAGUACAUAUGCAUCAUCUUCUCAGAGUUGAAAAGUUCUUUAGGGAGUUCCCGUCAUGGCUCAGUGGUUAUCAAAUCCGACUAGGAACCAUGAGGUUGAGGGUUCGAUCCCUGGCCUUGCUCAGUGGGUUAACGAUCUGGGGUUGCCGUGAGCUGUGGUGUGGGUCGCAGACGCGGCUCGGAUCCUGCGUUGCUGUGGCUCCAGCGUAGGUUGGCAGCUACAGCUCUGAUUAGACCCCUAGCCUGGGAACCUCCAUAUGCUGGGGGAGCAGCCCAAGAAAUGGCAAAAAGACAAAAAAAAAAAAAAGUUCUUUGGCAGCUGUCUGUAGACGUGAUACUCCAUUGUACUUUCUGAACAAGUCAUGCAUCCCCGAAAAUCUUCUUAAAAAAAAAAAAAAAGCCAAAACGAAAACAACCCCCCCACCCCUAUUUUAUAGUAAAGCCCUUCAAACCUACCAGUUUUACCGCCUUGGAGUAGAGUGUUUAGGGACUCUUUAGAGACAAGAUAGUUUCUGAACUUGGUAUUUUGUACUCAUUUAAAAAAAAUUUUUUUUAGGGUGACACCCAUAGCAUAUGGAGUUACCAGGCCAGGGAUUGAAUCCAAGUCACAGCUGGGACCUACAUGGCAGUUGCAGCAAUACUGGAUCCUUCAACCCAUUGCACUGAGCUAGGGAUUGAACCCGCGCCUUCCACAGUGAUCUGAGCCACUGUAGUCGGACUCUUAACCCACUGUGCUACAGUGGGAACUCCUUUGUAUUCAGUUUUAACUCAAUUGAUAUUACCACCUCGUAAGCUAGGGGUUGAAUUGACUGGCCUACGCCACAGCCACAGCAACUUGGGAUCCAAGCCUUAUCGGCACCCUACACUACAGCUCACAGCAACGCUGGAUCCUUAACCCACUGAGCGAGGCCAGGGAUCGAACCCACGUCCUCAUAGAUACAAGUCGAGUUCAUUACCACUGAGCCACAAAGGGAACACCCAUGAUUUAAGAUUUUGAAUUCAUGUUUGUGUAACUUAAAUAUGGAAAAUCCCCUAGCUUUUUUUUUUUUAAAUUGUUUUGCACUAAUAACUGUAGUAUACUUUGAAAUAUUUGAGAAAAUUGGUUCUUCUCUAAGGAAGGAAUGGCUUUCAUAUGUUUUUAGUUGGUAACUUAUGUCGAAAUCAGAGUGGUUUAAAUAAUGACUUGCUAUUUAAACCAAAGUAAUACUCCUUUAUGUUAGUUUGUAUUUUUCUUUCUUUCUUUUUACUUAUCUAGAGAAAUUGAAAUUGGCUUGACGUAUAGUGUAUUGAUUAUAGUCAGUUUCACUCUAUAUAAUUUUUAGAGCAUUUCUUGACACUAUAUAUAUAUUUGUUUAUGAUGAUGAUGUAUUUUGGAAAACCUUAGCAUUACAACUUUAGAGCUGGGAUGUUCUUUAAAAACUAAUUUAGUUUAAUUGUUUCAAGUUAUUUACAAGCAAAUUAUAAUAAUCAUAGUUAUUUCUAAUUUACAGAAUUCUUUUUUAUUACAUGGACCUCCAGCUUUGCCGCAAUCUAUGACCUCUGUAUUUUAAUAUCUUUAUUCUUUGAGUAACGUUAUUUUGGACAGUCUUGUCAGCACCAGCAACCAAAAAAGGAGCAGUGGAAUCUGGGAAGUGGGAGACUUUCUAGAUUUGUGUAAGUGUCCAUGUCAAUUAUAAUUGUAAGAACUAAUGGACACUGGAUGUGAUUGCUUCAUAUAGGUGGUAGAAGGAAAAGGAAAGACCUAUUUUUUUUGUCCUUUUUAGAGCUGCACCUGCGGCAUGUGGAGGUUCCCAGGCUAGGGGUCAGAUUGGAGCUGCAGCUGCUGGACUACACCAUAGCCACAGCAACACGGGAUCCAAGCCACAUCUUCGACCUAACACCACAGCUCAUGGGGUCCUUGACCCACUGAGCGAGGCCAGGGGUCAAACCUGCAUCCUCCUGGAUACUAGUCAGGUUUGUUACUGCUGACCCACAAUGAGAACUCCGAAAGACCCGUUUUUGAUAAGGGAAGAUAACUGAAUAUUUUUUUAAAAAUAGGAGAUGAGUAGAAUUCCCAUUGUGCCACAGCGGAAACGAAUCCGACUAGGAACCACAAGGUGGUAGGUUCGAUCCCUGGCCUCGCCCAGUGGGUUAAGGAUCCAGCGUGGCUGUGGCUGCGGUGUAGGCUGGCAGCUACAGCUCCAAUUGGACCCCUCGGCUGGGAACCUCCAUGUGCCGAGGCUGUGGCCCUUAAAAAAAAAAAAUAGGAGACGAGUGACCAGAAGCGAACUUUCUUUCCCAUAUCUGGGGUUUGUUGCCCCCUGUCCAUCCUCAAAAGGUUAUCAGUCUCCUAAAGAUGUUCCUGCUGACUCUUGUACCUCAGCAGAGCACAUGC
ensembl:lncRNA